UCCAAGACGGGAAGCAAAGACGCGUGAUCCACUCCGGUCGCCGAACCGGAUCACGUCGAGCAGUGGCGAGCCCGGUCCCGUGUGAGA
ncrna:unclassified sequences c-di-GMP-II-GCG riboswitch